CAAUGGAAACAGAAAUUUGGAACAUAAAAGUAUUAUUUCAAAAUGAACACAUUAUAUGUAAAAGCUCACAACCAGGAAUUUCUUCAGUUGGGUUUGCAGCAAUGUUAUGUCACUAAUACUAUAUUUCUCUCUAUAUGGCCAAACCUGUAAGGCCUUAAUAUCUGAUUAUGGAGCACAUCUAGACUGUUAAAAAGCUUUCUAUAAUAUUAAUAAAAAUCAAAUAAUAAAUACAAAUUAAAUUGACUAAUCAUAGCAAUUUCAUUUUGAGAAUGUUUUGUAGGCUGAAGGCAAAUCCUUGAGAUAUUUUUGCAGAAGUGUCAUUGCAAAACAGAAUCUGCAGUAGAACUAUGUCAUCUUCUGGUUCUAAGUGUGCCCUCUCAUUGCUGGCAGAUGGCAAGUAUUUAUUUGCUUGCUAGCUCUUUAGUGGAACUGGUCUUCUGUUUCCACUGUUGCCUCCUGUGACACAAACUGCCACCUGUCUCCCAAGGUUCUUUCUUUGUAACAGAACCCUAGUUUUUGGCUGGACUCAUUUCCCCAGUGGUAGAGGCUGCUGGCUGGUCAUGUCAUGAGCCCAGGUCUUCUUCUUGGGCACAACCAGAUGCCAUUUCUCAGCCUCCCUUGCAGUUAUAUGCAGCUGUGUGUUUGAGUUCUGGCCAUUAGUGAGUGGAAGUGAUGUGUCCCUUCUACUCACACUUCAGUAGUCCUGGCCUACAGAAACUCACGAUGAUUCUCUAUACUCUUUAUCUUUCCACAGCUUAAUGCAGAUAAGUAACAAGAUCUUGGAAGACAAGUGUUGAAGGUGAAAGAGGCACAAGAUAGAAGAAACCUGGGUCCUUAGAUCCUUGCUUGGAGGAAAACCACCUGCCAAUCCAGAACAUCAUUUUGGACUUCAUCCUUGAAACCAACUCUCUGCAGAGCAAUUCCUGUUUCCACAAAGGGUGCAUCAGGAUGCAUGGGACCCCCGGAUCACAGGCCCCACGUGUGAACGAAGCAACACAGACCGUGGAUAACGGAGACCUCUCUAGGACGGAGUCUCGCUUUGUCGCCCAGCCUGGAGUGCAAUGGCGCGAUCCCGGCUCACUGCAACCUCUGCCCACCAGGUUCAAGUGAUUCUCCUGCCUCAGCCUCCUCAGUAGCUGGGACUACAGGCCUGCGCCACCACGCCUGGCUAAUUUUUGUAUUUUUAGUAGAGACAGGGUUUCGCCAUGUUGGGCAGGCUGAUCUCAAACUCCUGACCUCAAGUGAUCCGCCCACCUCGGCCUCCCAAAGUGCUGGGAUUACACAUGAGAGCCACCGCACCUGGCCUAUGUUCACCAUCUGGGUAACAAGUACACUAGAAGCCCAAUCCCACUGUUAUGCAAUAUGCCCAUGCCUAUGUACAUGUACCCCCUGAAAACAUGCAUAUGUACCCCCGAAUCUAAAAUAAAAUAAAAUAGAGAUGUAGAAAAGAAUAAUUUAAAAAAUAUUUUGAGAAAUGUAUAACAAGAGCCAUAAAAGUGUUUAUAUUCCCUUGUCCUAGUAAUUCUGCUUGUGGAUAUUUAUCUUAACAAAAUCAUCAGAAAUGUGUAGAAUGAUUAAUGGAUAAGCAUGUUCACUGAAGCAUUCCUUAGACUAUAGGAAAAUUUGGGAAAAAAAACCCAAUAUACAAAAAAUGAGGAAACACUUAAAUUAAUCAUAGUCCAUUCAGAUGAUGGAAUGCUGUGUAGAUAUGUAAAAAUCAUAUUUUCAGAGAUGGCUGUUGAUCAAUGAAAAUGCCCAAUCUAUAACAUUCCAUGAAAAAGACAGAUAUACAGCCAUAUAUUCCAUACAAUUAUAAUUUUAAAUAUGUAUGAAUGUGUGUGUAUAUAUAAUAUAUGUGAAAAAAUUGGAAAGAAAUACACUAAAAUGUUAACUCAUUAUCUCUAAGUGGCAGGAUUAUGAGAUUACAGGUGAUUGUUUCUGGUUCUUUGUAUUUUUUAGUAUUUUUUUUAUUUUUUUGAGAUGGAUUCUCACUCUGUUGCCCAGGCUGGAGUGCAGUGGCAUGAUCUCAGCUCACUGCAACCUCUGCCUCCCAGGUUCAAGCGAUUCUCCUGCCUCAACCUCCCGAGUAGCUGGGACUACAGGUGCGCACCACCGUGCCCAGAUAAUUUUGCUAUUUUUAGUGGAGAUGGGUUUCAUCAUGUUGGCCAGGAUGGUCUCGAUCUCUUGACCUCAUGAUCCACCCUGCUUGGCCUCCCAAACUGUUGGGAUUACAGGCAUGAGCCACCGCGCCUGGCCUAUAUUUUAGUGUUCUAAGAUUUUUCUACAAUGACUCUGUAUUGCUUUUAAUGUCAAAAAUCUCAAUAAUUUUGAAGGUUAUGGUAUUUAUGUACUUUUUUUAAAAAUGAUGAAUGUUCUCCCUAAAUCAGAAAUGUGGACACUGUGUUUUGGCUUUAGUGUAGUGAGGUGGAGUAUUAUGAUUAAAUACUGUGUUUUCAAGCAUUAAUGACUCAAAGAGCAGGUACUUACAGAGCACCUAUUAUUUCCAUCAACCAAUGUUAUUGAGCACUUACUCAAUAAGUGUUGGCCUCUGACUUUACGCCUAAGAGUCAGGAGACCACAAAAAAGCAACAAUGUCAGGUCUGCAAGGUGAAGGCAAGAAGCUCAUGUUCUAGGUACUUGUGACUGUCCUGUAAUGCUAAAGAAUGAACCAUUACCAAAGAUUUGGCAAACUCACCCAAGCUUAUUCCUAAGGAGUCUAACCUUUGCCCAAGUAUCUAGGACUCAGGCCCACCUGCUUAGCCUGGUCUCACUGAAGUGUGGAGGCGAAGCAUUUGCAGCUUCAUCAUCUUCCAUUUUGUCUCAUAAGGAAAUUGUGUUAGUCCAAGAGGCUUGGUGUGUUACAGGGUUGUACAGCUUAGUGCUUUCUUAGCAUUCUGUUUAAGUGCUGACAACUUGAUAUUUUCGUCAAUGGUUGCUAUAUUUCUCCAAUGUUAGGUUGACAGGCUAAUAAUUUCAGAAGUCAAUUUCUCCUCUCUCUCUCUUCUCCCAGUUUACAUAUUUCUAUUUUCCAAUUCCUUUAUCUGCAUUUUGUACAUACCUCAAAAUAGUGGAAGGCAAGGCCUCUAGGAUCACUUGGCCCAAUCCCCAUAUAAUUGGAUCCUUAGGGCUUGCUAUAUCUUUAAAGAAAUUGAGGUCACCUUUUGUCACCAAGAAUUAAGCACCUGUUGUGUGACUGAUGGAGAUCUGUACACAGAGCACAUUGCCCAGGGCAGGGGUGAUUUGGUUACAGGCAGCCUCUCGAUGUAUGAUAAAAGUUGGGAUCAGGUUGUAAACAUUUUGCUCACUGUAGCAGAAAGCUCUCUGUGAACGGAGAGCUGUCUAAACAGGGUGGUUGGCCACAGAAGCUGCCCAGGGAUGCACCUCCUUUCCACAUUAGCCCAUGGCCUUUCCAGCCCUGAAAUCUGAGUUGCAUGUGAGUCACUUAGACAGGCCAUCUGUCAAUUAUUAAGCGACAUCAGUGGGCCCAGCAAUUCCAUUCUGCGUAGUGCAAAGGUCCUCCACGCAUUCCAGGUCUAUACCAUCAAAGUGGCUAUUUUUCUCAACCUAUCCCUGCCCUUUAAGAAAAUGGGGGUCAUUUAUUUCCAGGGAUCACUAUUUACACCCCAUUGGCAGGUAGUGGAGCCCAGUGGUUAAUAAACAACCUUGUUUUAAAUCCCAUCUCUGUUGUUUGCAAGCUGUGUGUCUUUCAGAAACUUUACUUAAAUUUCUUGAGCAUCAGUUUCCUCACAAGGGUGUGGUCAAGUGAUAAUCAAGUAUUUGUACUUUAACCCUGUACCUGGCUGAUAGCAAGCCCUCAGAGAAGAAUUAACUAAGAGUUUUUAUACAUUCCCUCCAGUACAAUGUUCCUAACAUACAAGGGGCAUAUGUGUGUAUUAUGAGUGGGAAGAAGGAAGGAAGGAUGCAAUUGAUAAGGCUUGCAUUCAACAUUGCUGUAGUCAAACUCUCUUUCCUUAGGAAGAUCUGGAUGUGCCAACAUUUCUUAUAUAUCAUAUGUGGAGGUGACUUAGGUUUUUCUUUCAGUAUUUCAUGAUUUGAAAGAGCAUUUGGUGAUAAUGAGCAGGUUUUGAAGUCUGUGAACUAAACUAAAAGUAAAAAUAAAUGGGACGUUGAAAUUUUGUUUGUGCCUUAAGGGAACUCCCUUUUACCCUCCCACUAUGUUGAUGAUGUCAUGUUUGUUCUAACAUAUCAUCUAACAAUUCCCUCCAUUCAUUUUUUUCUCCUUAUUUCUUUUCCUUUCAAGUGACAGUAUCUUCAACAAUCGUUCGGCUGUUCAGAAACUUAAAAAUCAUGAGACGAUUCUUAAAGGAUAGGAACUAACAUUGAUCACACAGCGUGUAAUCCCACAUCUAUAUACUGGCAAAUGGUGGCACAAACACCAUAAAAUCUCAGCUUGCUUUGUAGCCAUUCUGGAUUGCUGAGUUCUAGGCAAGUAAGAGCUGGUUGUUCAAAGCACCAAAAGAAAGAAAGGAAGGAAGGAAAGAAGGGAGGUGGGCAGAGAGGGAGGGAAGAAGGAAGGAGAAGGAGGGAGGGAGAGAGAGAGAAAUAAAAAGAAAGAAAGAAAGAAAGAAAGAAACAAGAAACAAAGAAAGAAAGAAGAAAGAAAGAAGAAAAAGAGAGAAAGAAAGAAAAAGAAAGAGAAAAA